rnacentral:lncRNA from 13 species
CAGCUACGGCCAAUAUGGGUCUGGCUCAGGAGAGUCCUCUGGUUACGGUGAGCAGGGAUCUGGCUCAGGUCACUCCUCUGGCUAUGGACAACACGGAUCUAGCUCAGGUCAGUCUUCCGGCCAUGGUCAGCAUGGGUCUGCAUCCCGUCAGUCUUCAGGGCAUGGACGACAUGGCUCUGGAGCUGGCCAGUCUCCUAGCCGCGGCCGACAUGGGUCCGGGUCGGGACAGUCUUCCAGCUACGGCCAACAUGGGUCUGGCUCAGGACAGUCCUCUGGUUAUAGUCAGCACGGAAGUGGCUCAGGGUAUGGCUCUAGCCGUGGACAACAUGGUUCCACGUCAGGACAGUCCUCCAGCUUCGGCCAGGAGGGAUCUAGCUCAGGUCAGUCUUCCGGCUAUGGUCAGCAUCGGUCUGGCUCCCGUCAGUCUUCGGGCCAUGGCCGACAUGGCUCUGGAGCUGGCCAGUCUCCUAGCCGCGGCCGACAUGGGUCCGGGUCGGGACAGUCUUCCAGCUACGGCC